rnacentral:rRNA from 1 species
AGCGAACGUUAGCGGCGGGCUUAACACAUGCAAGUCGAGCGAGAACGGGGCAACCCUAGUACAGCGGCGGACGGGUGAGUAACACGUAGGUAACUUUCCCUUGAGCGGGGGACAACGGUCCGAAAGGACCGCUAAUACCGCAUACGUUCUUCUGGUCUUAGGGCUGGGAGAGGAAAGCUAGGCUAGCAAUAGUCCGGCACUCAAGGAGAGGCCUGCGUAGCAUCAGCUAGUUGGUGGGGUAAUGGCCUACCAAGGCAAAGACGCUUAGCUGGUCUGAGAGGAUGAUCAGCCACACUGGGACUGAGACACGGCCCAGACUCCUACGGGAGGCAGCAGUGGGGAAUAUUGGACAAUGGGCGCAAGCCUGAUCCAGCCACGCCGCGUGAGUGAUGAAGGCCUUCGGGUCGUAAAGCUCUGUGGGGAGGGACGAACCGCUUUUGGUUAAUAGCCAGAAGCAUGACGGUACCUCCUUAGCAAGCACCGGCUAACUUCGUGCCAGCAGCCGCGGUAA